rnacentral:rRNA from 1 species
UGGGGAAUAUUGCACAAUGGGCGCAAGCCUGAUGCAGCCAUGCCGCGUGUAUGAAGAAGGCCUUCGGGUUGUAAAGUACUUUCAGCGGGGAGGAAGGGAGUAAAGUUAAUACCUUUGCUCAUUGACGUUACCCGCAGAAGAAGCACCGGCUAACUCCGUGCCAGCAGCCGCGGUAAUACGGAGGGUGCAAGCGUUAAUCGGAAUUACUGGGCGUAAAGCGCACGCAGGCGGUUUGUUAAGUCAGAUGUGAAAUCCCCGGGCUCAACCUGGGAACUGCAUCUGAUACUGGCAAGCUGGAGUGUCGUAGAGGGGGGUAGAAUUCCAGGGGUAGCGGUGAAAUGCGUAGAGAUCUGGAGGAAUAACGGUGGCGAAGGCGGCCCCCUGGACGAAGACUGACGCUCAGGUGCGAAAGCGUGGGGAGCAAACAGG